GUUACGGCAGCCUCUGCAUCAAAAUAAAAUUUCGCUAAAAAUAUUUCUAAAUGAAUUCAAACGUCCGAGAUUCGAGAAGACAUAACUCCCUUGUGGUAUUGAUUUUUUGUAAGGAAACUCAACAAAAUAAUAAUAGCUGUAUAACACCCAAAAAAGGCAAGAAGAUAAAUUGCUCGCCGUUCCUUGUGCACCUUGAGUUCUUUGAAUAGUAUGAUAAAAGAGGGAAUGUGACUGAACUUAUUCAAAAAUUAGGAACAAGAGAGAUGAUACAAGAUUUGUUCUUCGGCGUAUUACCUUCUUUUUCUCGAGAUAGCCGGUGGGUUGGGUAAAGAUUGUUUAGCAUUCGGAGAGCGCCACUCUUGAUUUUUGGCGACCUUACAUACUUACUGUCUCAGAAGAUUCAAUGGCGUUGCAUUGGAAUUGUUUUAUUUUGGUUCGAUCGGCCUACGGAAGCCCUGGUUUGUGUAGCAUAUAAUGCACCAAUCCACAGGACUGUUACACACCAGUUGCUCGUCAUUAAUUUUCCGACAUGAGAAGUGUCUUUGGGACAAGUUUACAAGUUCCAUGUGGGCAGGACAACGUGCCGAUACUCAAACUCGUCAUCGUAGUAUUCGUCGGAAUAAUAUAUCUCCUUAGGAUUUAUCUUUGAGCAGCGUCUUGCUAAUUCCUGUUCAAGGAUAAGCCGACAUGUUCUUUUUUUUGUGUUGUUGCGAAUCGGACAAAAAACAAAAAUAAAACGCAGGUUGUUCAAUUGAUUUGAUAAGUUAUUGUGCGAUUUUUUUUUAAGGACUUUGGUUCUUUAUUACUUAUUUUAUUUUGUUUCCAAACUAAUUAAUUAAUUUAUAAAGGAGAAAUAAAAGUAUGAUUAAAAGAAAUAAAACAACGCUUCGCAUCUGUUCAAGUUAAUUUUUUUAUUUAUUCCCAAUUAACUGAGAGAUGUUUUGACAGAUGGAGUUGGAAUCAAAAAGUCCGAAUGACUCCGAAUCGAAUGGAAGCAUUCAGAUUCGAACAUGUUUAAGUGGUGGGGAUAUGAGCUACUUUUGGGGGAUACACACAAUAAAACAAUAUUUGUAGGCAAUGCUAUCCGCAACGGGGGGUUACGUUAAGGGACGGCUCCUACUAAAUCGAGGUGCCUCUAUACCAACGGAGUUCAUGUACGUUACCUGAACAAAGGAAUAGUGGUGGUUUUGGUACGUUUAGGUAGCGGUAGGAAUGCGAACCAGAAGUACUAGGCAUAGUUGCAAACAGAUAGUCGGAGUGUCAAAAUCAAGUCGUUGAGAGUAAAUUUGUUCUGUACAGGCUGAAAAUUCGAAGAAACUUUCGUAAAAAGUUAAGAAACAAAAUUCAAAAUUGUGUGGGUUCGGGUCAAAGAGGCAGGACGACGACGACGACAGCGUCGCCCGGAUGAAGAAGCAACAUAAAGGGCACAAAACAAACGUUGAGUCAGGUGCACGAGAAGCUGUAACAAAAAAUUAAGUGAUGAGUACCUAGAAAUAAGUUUAAAAAUAAAAAGUGCAAACUCCUAAUCUUUAAAAAAAAAUAUAAAACUAGAAGUAAUUGUGAAUAAUCACUCUAUAACAAAACCUAAUUUGAACUCCGAAAAAGCCGAGACCGAACCCCACAUUUUAAAAAUUCAAACAUUAGUGCGAAAAUUCGAAAGUCGAAAGUUCACUUCGAAUCAAAAUAUAAAAACUUAAAUCGAAAGCUUUUGGCAUCGAGGGCACGAACCCAAAAUUAUCAAAAUCGCCAACCGGAUGCCCAGAAGAGCGGCCAUCAUUGAAAAACGCAACUAGACGUUUAAUUUGAAAUAUUUAUUUUGAGCGUUGGCAUAAUUUUUAUUUUAAAUUGUUUUUAUUUAAUGUUUUAUUGUUUAAAUUUUUAACUUAAGUGAUAAGAAACCAAAAGGGUGUUGCGGGUAGGGCGUGACGUCGUCGUACGGGAGCGACAAGGGCGAACCAGUUUCAUCCGACGAUAGUAGUUUGUUUUUAUCACCCCAAUUGAGGUGCAAACCCCCCUAAAAAGCGCUUUAUAGGUAGGGUAAUUAAUAUUUGGUGCAAAAUUGCAAAGUUGAAAGUUCGGGCGAGGCUGGGCUCGAAAUAUAGACCCUACAAUUAUUGUGUCGCUGAAGUGCG